ensembl:lncRNA
CUUUCCCAGACCUAAUUUAAGGGGUGGCAGUGGAGAUGAGGGCAUUUUGCUGGAGAUCCCUGUGUACCUGAGGCCUUCUAAAGAACGUCAGUAGAAUGUUGGCAAAUCAGGAAGCUGGAGAGAGGUGUACUGGGUUCUGCUUUCUUCUGUGGCAUUGAUUCACGGUGGACUUCCACCCGACAUACCUGGAGCCAUGUGCAGCCAUAACCACUGCAGAACAGGUAGUAACAGAAUGAAAAAUAAUGCGAGGAAGUGAUUUACCUCAAGAAAAGAAAAUGUGAAAAAAUUCUUUAUGCCUCAAAGCAAUCUGUCAAUAAAAGGUCAUCCUGUAGAAGCCACAGUUUAAGCACUGGUAUCUGCCUGGCUACAACUUAUCUUCAUUAUAGUCAGUGAGGCUUCUCAUCGGUGAACCACAGCAUCUAUUUAAACUCCCCUGAAAGCAGUUGGGCACUCUGAAACAUUCGGAUCAUCAACUGAUGGUGUUCUUGGAACAGAGAGGAAUCAUUCGCCUUUCAGCUGAAAAAAAUAUUUAGCAAGACUUAUGAAGAUACAUGGCAUCGUUUUCAAAAACAUGGAGGGAAAAGAGAAAGGCAUGCUUUUUCCAAUAUGAAGAAUGGAAAGAGAAUUUUGAAACUGUUCUGUGUAAAACCUUGUCUUUGCAAGGAGGUACACAUCCCCUGACUGCAGGUGGAGGAAAACAUACUCAGAUCUUCAUAAAGCUACAUAGGUGAAACUGCACUGAAAAAAUAUCAAGUGGAAAAUUAACCUCAUAUAAACAACCAUGCUAGGAAUAAAAAUAAAAAUAUUAAAUGCUCUGCGUGUACAGAAAGGCAGCUUGGAUACUGGCCUGCACCAUUCAGUGUUCUCAGCAAAGACUAAUGUUGCAUUACAAUGAAUGUCACUUUAAUGAGGCAGAAAAAAUUGGUCCGAAGACAGCCUGCUGAAUUCAAUCACCUGCUUCACUUGACAUGAGAAACUAGUCACAGGACAUGCCAUACACAGCCCCAGCAGUGACAGUGCUCCCUGUAACAAUAUGAAGUUGCAAAAGAUUUCAACCUGUG